CCUACGGGAGGCUGCAGUGGGGAAUAUUGCGCAAUGGGCGAAAGCCUGACGCAGCGACGCCGCGUGAGGGAUGAAGGUCUUCGGAUCGUAAACCUCUGUCAGCAGGGAAGAACGGUCACUGUGCUAAUCAGCAGUGAAUUGACGGUACCUGCAAAGGAAGCACCGGCUAACUACGUGCCAGCAGCCGCGGUAAUACGGAGGGUGCGAGCGUUAAUCGGAAUUACUGGGCGUAAAGCGCUCGUAGGCGGUAUGUCAAGUCUAAGGUGAAAUCCCCGCGCUCAACGUGGGAACUGCCUUUGAAACUGGCAAACUGGAGUGUGGGAGAGGAUAGUGGAAUUCCAGGUGUAGGAGUGAAAGCCGUAGAUAUCUGGAGGAACAGCAGUGGCGAAGGCGACUAUCUGGCACAUAACUGACGCUGAGGAGCGAAAGCGUGGGUAGCAAACAGGAUUAGAUACCCCAGUAGUC
rnacentral:rRNA from 1 species